rnacentral:rRNA from 1 species
AUUGAACGCUGGCGGCAGGCUUAACACAUGCAAGUCGAGCGAGCGGCGGACGGGUGAGUAAUGUCUGGGACACUGCCUGAUGGAGGGGGAUAACUACUGGAAACGGAAGCUAAUACCGCAUACCAUCAGAUGUGCCCAGAUGGGAUUAGCUAGUAGGUGGGGUAAUGGCUCACCAAGGCGACGAUCCCUAGCUGGUAUGAGAGGAUGACCAGCCACACGGGAACGGAGACACGGUCCAGACUCCACCGGGAGGCAGCAGUGGGGAAUAUUGCACAAUGGUCGCAAGCCUGAGGAAGCCAUGCCGCGUGUUUGAAGGAGGCCUUCGGGUUGUAAAGUACUUGCAGCGAGGAGGCGUUACUCGCACAAGAAGCGCCGGCUAACUCCGUGCCAGAAGGCGCGGUAAUUC